rnacentral:rRNA from 1 species
AGGGUUUGAUUAUGGCUCAGGACGAACGCUGGCGGCACGCUUAACACAUGCAAGUCGAACGGAGAAUAUCGAAGCUUGCUUUGAUAUUCUUAGUGGCGGACGGGUGAGUAACACGUGAGUAACCUGCCUCUGAGAGUGGGAUAGCUUCUGGAAACGGAUGGUAAUACCGCAUGAAAUCAUAGUAUCGCAUGGUACAAUGAUCAAAGAUUUAUCGCUCAGAGAUGGACUCGCGUCUGAUUAGCUAGUUGGUAAGGUAACGGCUUACCAAGGCGACGAUCAGUAGCCGGACUGAGAGGUUGAUCGGCCACAUUGGGACUGAGACACGGCCCAG